CCUACGGGAGGCAGCAGUGGGGAAUAUUGGGCAAUGGGCGCAAGCCUGACCCAGCAACGCCGCGUGAAGGAAGAAGGCUUUCGGGUUGUAAACUUCUUUUCUCAGGGACGAAGCAAGUGACGGUACCUGAGGAAUAAGCCACGGCUAACUACGUGCCAGCAGCCGCGGUAAUACGUAGGUGGCAAGCGUUAUCCGGAUUUACUGGGUGUAAAGGGCGUGUAGGCGGGGACGCAAGUCAGAUGUGAAAACCACGGGCUCAACCUGUGGCCUGCAUUUGAAACUGUGUUUCUUGAGUGCUGGAGAGGCAAUCGGAAUUCCGUGUGUAGCGGUGAAAUGCGGAGAUAUACGGAGGAACACCAGUGGCGAAGGCGGAUUGCUGGACAGUAACUGACGCUGAGGCGCGAAAGCGUGGGGAGCAAACAGGAUUAGAUACCCUUGUAGUC
rnacentral:rRNA from 1 species